GGAGGAGUGGCCGAGUGGCUGAAGGCACCGGUCUUGAAAACCGGAAAUGGGUGACCGUUCCAGAGUUCGAAUCUCUGCUCCUCCAUCA
rnacentral:tRNA from 1 species